GAGAUUUUGACUCCCAUUUACUCUAGGAUGCCUAGACUCAGAUAAAGACCAUCCCAACAGGCAGUUCAAUACUGAGCACAUUUAGUAUCCUGUAUACAGGAGAUUGAAUGGAGAUAACAGAAGGUCAGGAGGCUUUGAGAGUUCACCAAUUUUGUCAGUUGUGGAAAUUCAUCAUUAUCUUUGAGGCAUGAAGCCAGUAUGGGUUCACUCCAUUAAGACUCACAUUUGAUUUGUGAUCUCACUGACCCAGGGAACCAGCAUGUGAUCAUAGGAAAUACAUAUAUGAUGGAAUCAUUAAGAUACACCAUAAUAAGGACUCCAAUAGAGUGAGUACAAGGUGCUACAGAAGGAGAGUGGACAGAAGUGAGUGGUGUGAGUAGAGAGACAGCAAGUGGGAUGAGCAUUCAGUUCGCAUCUGCUCAUGAAAUGAGCAUGAGGUGAUAUUCUAGCUGGGCUCUACAGGACAAAGAGGAGUUGGCUAGGCAAAAGAGGGAGAAAGCACACUUAGAGGGGAGGAAGUCUUUCAGGCCAAGACCACCUUGAUGUGUAAGCUUGCAUAAUUCUAAGAGAUGAUAGAGACAAAAUGGUAGAAUCAAAGAGGUGAAAGGAGCUUAGAUACUACCUAAUCCCACCCCAAUCUCCGCACUGAUUUACUUGAGAACUGGAGAGGAUGAACAAAUUGCUCAACUCUGGAAGAUCUAGGAUUCCAAAUCUUAUGCUGAAGAGUGGGCUGUUGCAGCUAGGAGAACUUCAAGGUCAUCUGCAAUAUGGCCACAACUCUCAUAGACUCCACAGGCCUUGUGAUGGAUGACCAGUCCUCAGCUGAUGAAGAGGGGGAGGUAGGCUGAGUUGGAGCAGGUCUAGGUCAGGGGACUAAUUGCUGUUGUCACUAACAAAGGGAUACAGACGCCACCACUGCAGUGGCUAAAGGGGAUUUUUUUUUCAUUUUUAAAAUUGUUAUUAAAGUGUAGUUGAUUUACAAUGUUUCAUCCAGUUCUGAUGUUCAAUAAAGUGCCCCAAUCAUACA
rnacentral:lncRNA from 1 species